GACGAACGCUGGCGGCGUGCCUAACACAUGCAAGUCGAACGGAACUCAUUGGAAUGAGACUUCGGUCGAAUGAUAGUGAGUUUAGUGGCGGACGGGUGAGUAACGCGUGAGCAACCUGCCUUUCAGAGGGGGACAACAGUUGGAAACGACUGCUAAUACCGCAUGAUGUAUUUCGGGGGCAUCCUUGAAAUACCAAAGAUUUUAUCGCUGAAAGAUGGGCUCGCGUCUGAUUAGUUAGUUGGUGGGGUAACGGCCUACCAAGACUACGAUCAGUAGCCGGACUGAGAGGUUGAACGGCCACAUUGGGACUGAGAUACGGCCCAG
rnacentral:rRNA from 1 species